ACUUUACAUGGCAGAAAGGAUUUUGCAGAUGUAAUUAAGUUAAGGAUUUUGUGAUGGGGAGAUUAUUUAGGUGGUACAAAUGUAGUCACAAGGUUAUUUAUGAGAAGGGCAAGAGAGUGAGAGUCAGACAAAGAGACAUGAUGACGAGCAGAAGGAGAUUUUAAGAUGGAGGAAGGGGCCAUAAAACAAGGAAUGCAAGUGGCUUCUAGAAGCUGAAGUGAAUUCUCCCACAGAAUCUCUAGAAGGAUGCUGCCAACACUUCAAGUUUGACUUCUGACCUCCAAAAAUGUAAGAUGACAAAUGGAAACAGAAACUACUCUAGAUCAUGGUAAAUCAAAACUGUCUGCGAGAAUUCCCCAUCCCACCACCUUGUAUGGAGGCCAGCUUAUGAUCAUAGAUUCUUAGUGGAGACUUAUCCCCCUCAAGCCAGUAUUAAGGCCAAGGUAUGCAAGUCGCUGGCUGAUGCCUUCUUUUCACCUGUAAAAUUAAGCACUGGAAGUAUACAUAUGAAGAAAGCCAGCCUCAAAAUAUAAAUGGCCUGCACAAAGAUAUACAGCUACAGAAUACCAUGCACAAGUUGCCAGCUCUAAUCUGUCAACAAAGCCUUCAAUCCUGAUUGUUUCAUCAAUUGAAUGAUGAAUUUGUUUUCCAAUGGCAUGAAAAUCAAGUUACUAUAAAAGUGUACUUUUAAGACAUGUAACAUUUAUUUUAGGGUGAUGACAGAAAUAGUCAAAUACAUAAGUGAUGUAUCCAAAUAAAAUAGAGGAAUUAAGCCAUGUAAUUUUUCGGUAAAUAGAUUACAAUUUGACUCUUGCCAUGUUCCAAAAACAGCAAUUUUUAUAUGCACUUAUACUUAACAGUUGCAGUGCUGGUGUCAAGAUUAAUGACAUUCUUGGUGACAUCCCCUAACAUGAGUAAAAACCAGAAUUGGUUUCAAUAAAUGCAUUUUGAUUUAAAUGGAAAAGUGAAAACCUGAGAAUGCAGAUUCAAGGUGGUGAAAUACACUGUUUUUCUUCAUUAUUUUGGUAAAUAACAAUGAAGAAUAUGAGAAGGCAAAAUGAAGAGGAAAAACGGAAAUGAGGCAAGAGGAGCUAGAUGGAGUGGGAAAAGCACAAAGAGGAAGAGAAGAGGUCAGAGAAGUAGCGAAGCCCAGCUAACGUCAGUCACUUAGAUCGACAUAAAGCCUUUCAGUUUUAUUCUGGAAAAAGACAGAAGUCAAGAGUGGAAUUUGAUCAAAUCAGUGACAAAUCUUGUCUUCUUUCCAAAGGAACACUCUGAAUAUUGUAGCAUGAAUAGACUGUGAGCAUAAAUAGCAGAUAAACGGCAGCAAGAACAUUUAGGAAGCUUUUACAAUAAUCGAGGCUAGAGAGAAACUAAUAGACAUGGAGUUGAUCUAUAUCAGAAAUAGAUGGAUUCUGAACACAUUUUGAAAGUAGAGGUAACAGGAUUUGUUGAUGGAUUCCAAGCAUGAGGUUUAAAAAAAGAAUAUCAAAGAUGACUUCGAAGAUUUUGGUCUGAGCAAAUUGGUGAUAAUUUUAUAAAGAAGGAGAUAAACAAGAAAAAAGUAAUGAGAUCACUCAGUCUAUAUAUUAGUCAUAUUAGUCAUAUAUAGUCAUAUUUUACAUAUUCUUCCUAUAGUCAUAGUCCAGUUAGAAGGCAAAGUAAAAAUUGGCACGAUCUUGAAAAAAACUUGAAGCUAAAAAAAAGACAUUUUUGACCUAACAGGUAUAAAAUACCUCAUUUGACAAGAAUAAUAAUAUAAUAUUAGUGUAUUAAUUGACAAAUAGAUAUAUAAUACAUAUUUACAUACAUAUGCAUGCUAAUGUAUAUGAUCUAUACCACUUAUGAAACUAUAGAUAGAAUACUGAAGGAUUACUUAUGGUUAUAAAAGAGACUUUGCAUUUUGCUCAAUUUAUUGUGUUUGAAAUGAUGCACCACAAUAUGUUAACUUUAGUAAUAAAUAAAGGUAGAGGGAUGGAGUUUAAGAGGAAUAAGAGAGUAUGAUGUGAAAAAAAAUGGAUCAAGGGCCUAAAUGAAAGUGAAAACUGUAAGAUAUGAAACUGAAA